rnacentral:rRNA from 1 species
UACAGAGGGGGCAAGCGUUGUUCGGAAUUACUGGGCGUAAAGGGCGCGUAGGCGGCCUUCUAAGUCGAACGUGAAAUCCCCGGGCUCAACCCGGGAACUGCGUCCGAGACUGGAAGGCUCGAAUCCGGGAGAGGGAUGUGGAAUUCCAGGUGUAGCGGUGAAAUGCGUAGAUAUCUGGAGGAACACCGGUGGCGAAGGCGGCAUCCUGGACCGACACUGACACUGAGGAGCGAAAGCCAGGGGAGCAAACGGG